ensembl:snoRNA
CCUCUGCAUUCGGGAGCCAUGCGGGGUUUGUGGUACCCUCGAGCACACCAGACUUGCAGAAAGAGCAUCUUCAGGAGGAAGCUGAGGCACGACCACCCGAGCAAUUCAUGCACAGUUCCCUCCCACAGUGCUUGGGCGCUGUUGCCAUGGCCAUAGCGACCGGGCCCUGUUGUCCAUCAGUAACGGUCAUGAAACCCCACACUUGGGAUCUCAUUAGACAGAUGGAGUGGUUUCUGAUGGGCACUAAAUGCGGCUACAAAU